GGUAAAAGCAAACAAGCAAUGAAAAUGACCUUAAAUUUUUAUUUUUAAGCACCAAUCUGUAGAUGUUGGAGAUUCAUUUUAAAUAAUCUGUGGGGCUCAUUGACCUGUCUAGAAGAAGAAUGGAUAAGGCAUAAGGAUUGAGCAAAAUUUACUUUUGAAAAUUUUCUUUUUUUUUUUUGAUAAUAUCUGGUCCUGCCCUUAUGGGAAGGAUAAAGCUCUGUAAAAGCACAGGGCCAGCUCCUGUUUUCUGAACCCUUUCUAUGGAUGGCGAUGAAUCUAUGUAUUCUACUUAUCAGAGUAGGUUUACCCUCAUGGAUUAUAUUUGAGGUCCCACAUCUGAGUGGUUGACAUAUUGUGCCAAUAUACCUAGCCAAAGUGCCCUUGCAUUAGGCCUGGCUUGUUUACUAAGGUAUCAGCUGGUUGGAAGGACCUAGGAGACUGUAUGUAUAAGCUGAGAGAGAGGCAUCAGUGAUAUAGGGAUCUGGGCCAACUGUUCAUUCAGCCUACUUUUGUCUUUUGCAUUUUCUCUUGCCCUAAAACAUAUUGCAUCCAUUAUAGGAUAGAUGGUUGCAGUGACCAUUCAGUCUUAUGACUUGGUAGAUCUAAUAGCACUUCAGCUCAAGUUGGACAACUCCGGAUUUAUACUUACUUGGCAUGCCUUUCUCACUUAGCUUAAUAAUUUCUAGCUUUUAAUUUAAUGACGUUCACUUGAACAUUUAGAGGACAUUAUAGGGUGGUUAAUUGGCUUAGCUUCAACAUUGUUGUGUCUCAGGGACUAGGGAGGCCAGAAGAGGAAGAGAGAGAGGGAAAUGGCCUGUCGGUGGAGCAGUCAGAACACACACAACAUUUAUCAAUUAAGUUUGCUGUCUUAUGUGGACGUGCUUAUGCUGCCCUAAAAUAAUUACAAUAGUAACAUCAAAGAUCACCUAUCACAGAUCAUCAUAGCAGACAAUAAUAAUAAACCCAUUUAAAAUACUGUACAGAUUAUUAAAAUUUGACCUAGGACACAAAAUGAGAUCAUGCUGUUGGAAAAAUGGUGCAGAUAGACUUGC
rnacentral:lncRNA from 10 species